UUUUUAGUAUAAGUAUAUCUUAUGCAGUAGUUGAGAUAUACUUACACUAAAA
rnacentral:pre_miRNA from 1 species